GACGAACGCUGGCGGCGUGCUUAACACAUGCAAGUCGAGCGGAAAGGCCCUUCGGGGUACUCGAGCGGCGAACGGGUGAGUAACACGUGAGUAAUCUGCCCUUGGCUUUGGGAUAACUACCGGAAACGGUGGCUAAUACCGGAUACGACAACCGUCUGCAUGGGCUGGUUGUGGAAAGUUUUUUCGGCCAGGGAUGUGCUCGCGGCCUAUCAGCUUGUUGGUGGGGUAAUGGCCUACCAAGGCUUCGACGGGGAGCCGGCCUGAGAGGGUGACCGGCCACACCGGGACUGAGACACGGCCCAGACUCCUACGGGAGGCAGCAGUGGGGAAUAUUGGACACUGGGCGGAAGCCUGAUCCAGCAACGCCGCGUGAGGGAUGACGGCCUUCGGGUUGUAAACCUCUUUCAGUACCGACGAAGCGCCGAUGAUGGUGGUGACGGUAGGUACAGAAGAAGCACCGGCCAACUACGUG
rnacentral:rRNA from 1 species